UACAGAGGCCCCAAGCGUUACUGAGAAUCACUGGGUUUAAAGGGUGCGUAGGUGGUCUGUUAAGUCCGUUGUGAAAGCCCUGGGCUCAACCCAGGAACUGCUUCGGAUACUGGCAGACUUGAGGCUAGUAGAGGUCACUGGAACUGACGGUGGAGCGGUGAAAUGCGUAGAUAUCGUCAGGAACGCCAAUGGUGAAGACAGGUGACUGGGCUAGUUCUGACACUGAGGCACGAAAGCGUGGGGAGCGAGCGGG
rnacentral:rRNA from 1 species